rnacentral:rRNA from 1 species
UACGAAGGGGGCUAGCGUUGCUCGGAAUUACUGGGCGUAAAGCGCGCGCAGGUGGUCUGUUAAGUUGGGGGUGAAAGCCCGGAGCUCAACUCCGGAAUUGCCUUCAAAACUGGCAGGCUAGAGUUCGGAAGAGGAGAGUGGAAUUCCCAGUGUAGAGGUGAAAUUCGUAGAUAUUGGGAAGAACACCAGUGGCGAAGGCGGCUCUCUGGUCCGACACUGACACUGAGGAGCGAAAGCGUGGGGAGCAAACAGG